rnacentral:lncRNA from 1 species
GCCAUGAUAGAGGGAUGGAUCCCUGGCAUGUCAGCGGCCGUCCAUGCGAAAAGAUCCCGGUUACGCCAAAGGGCAGCCCGGAGCUGCCUCUCCAUCUCUUCCUCCAGCCCUUGGGCUAUGAAGGUGACCUGAUCGAGGUUCUUUCCCACUAUCAUUGAUUGGGUUUCUCCCUGCGGUUCGAGGCGGUCCUCGGUGUUGGUACGGGGGUCUAGGUCGGCCAUCGCG